rnacentral:rRNA from 1 species
ACGGGAGGCAGCAGUGGGGAAUAUUGCACAAUGGGGGAAACCCUGAUGCGGCGACGCCGCGUGAGUGAAGAAGUUAUUCGUAAUGUAAAGCUCUAUCAGCAGGGAGGAAAAUGACGGUACCUGACUAAGAAGCCCCGGCUAACUACGUGCCAGCAGCCGCGGUAAUACGUAGGGGGCAAGCGUUAUCCGGAUUUACUGGGUGUAAAGGGAGCGCAGACGGCUUUGCAAGUCUGAUGUGAAAGGCAGGGGCUCAACUCCUGGACUGCAUUGGAAACUGUAGGGCUAGAGUGUCGGAGAGGUAAGCGGAAUUCCUAGUGUAGCGGUGAAAUGCGUAGAUAUUAGGAGGAACACCAGUGGCGAAGGCGGCUUUCUGGACUGUAACUGACACUGAGGCACGAAAGCGUGGGGAGCAAACAGGAUUAGAUACCCUGGUA